rnacentral:rRNA from 1 species
AACGAACGCUGGCGGCAGGCCUAACACAUGCAAGUCGAGCGCGCCCUUCGGGGUGAGCGGCGGACGGGUGAGUAACGCGUGGGAACGUGCCCUUUUCUACGGAAUAGCCUCGGGAAACUGAGAGUAAUACCGUAUACGCCCUUUGGGGGAAAGAUUUAUCGGAAAAGGAUCGGCCCGCGUUGGAUUAGGUAGUUGGUGGGGUAAUGGCCUACCAAGCCGACGAUCCAUAGCUGGUUUGAGAGGAUGAUCAGCCACACUGGGACUGAGACACGGCCCAGACUCCUACGGGAGGCAGCGGUGGGGAAUCUUAGACAAUGGGGGCAACCCUGAUCUAGCCAUGCCGCGUGAGUGAUGAAGGCCUUAGGGUUGUAAAGCUCUUUCAGCUGGGAAGAUAAUGACGGUACCAGCAGAAGAAGCCCCGGCUAACUCCGUG